rnacentral:rRNA from 1 species
GAUGAACGCUAGCGGGAGGCCUAACACAUGCAAGCCGAGCGGUAGAGUCUCUUCGGAGACUUGAGAGCGGCGCACGGGUGCGGAACACGUGUGCAACCUGCCUUUAUCUGGGGGAUAGCCUUUCGAAAGGAAGAUUAAUACCCCAUAAUAUACUGGAUGGCAUCAUCUGGUAUUGAAAACUCCGGUGGAUAGAGAUGGGCACGCGCAAGAUUAGAUAGUUGGUGAGGUAACGGCUCACCAAGUCAGCGAUCUUUAGGGGGCCUGAGAGGGUGAUCCCCCACACUGGUACUGAGACACGGACCAGACUCCUACGGGAGGCAGCAGUGAGGAAUAUUGGACAAUGGGUGAGAGCCUGAUCCAGCCAUCCCGCGUGAAGGACGACGGCCCUAUGGGUUGUAAACUUCUUUUGUAUAGGGAUAAACCUAGAUACGUGUAUCUAGCUGAAGGUACUAUACGAAUAAGCACCGGCUAACUCCGUGCCAGCAGCCGCGGUAAUACGGAGGGUGCAAGCGUUAUCCGGAUUUAUUGGGUUUAAAGGGUCCGUAGGCUGAUUUGUAAGUCAGUGGUGAAAUCUCACAGCUUAACUGUGAAACUGCCAUUGAUACUGCAAGUCUUGAGUGUUGUUGAGGUAGCUGGAAUAAGUAGUGUAGCGGUGAAAUGCAUAGAUAUUACUUAGAACACCAAUUGCGAAGGCAGGUUACUAAGCAACAACUGACGCUGAUGGACGAAAGCGUGGGGAGCGAACAGGAUUAGAUACCCUGGUAGUCCACGCCGUAAACGAUGCUAACUCGUUUUUGGGUUUUCGGAUUCAGAGACUAAGCGAAAGUGAUAAGUUAGCCACCUGGGGAGUACGAACGCAAGUUUGAAACUCAAAGGAAUUGACGGGGGCCCGCACAAGCGGUGGAUUAUGUGGUUUAAUUCGAUGAUACGCGAGGAACCUUACCAAGGCUUAAAUGGGAAAUGACAGGUUUAGAAAUAGACUUUUCUUCGGACAUUUUUCAAGGUGCUGCAUGGUUGUCGUCAGCUCGUGCCGUGAGGUGUUAGGUUAAGUCCUGCAACGAGCGCAACCCCUGUCACUAGUUGCCAUCAUUAAGUUGGGGACUCUAGUGAGACUGCCUACGCAAGUAGAGAGGAAGGUGGGGAUGACGUCAAAUCAUCACGGCCCUUACGCCUUGGGCCACACACGUAAUACAAUGGCCGGUACAGAGGGCAGCUACACAGUGAUGUGAUGCAAAUCUCGAAAGCCGGUCUCAGUUCGGAUUGGAGUCUGCAACUCGACUCUAUGAAGCUGGAAUCGCUAGUAAUCGCGCAUCAGCCAUGGCGCGGUGAAUACGUUCCCGGGCCU